rnacentral:rRNA from 1 species
UCCGUAGGUGGAUAAUUAAGUCAGAGGUGAAAUCCUGCAGCUCAACUGUAGAAUCGCCUUUGAUACUGGUUAUCUUGAAUUAUUGUGAAGUGGUUAGAAUAUGUAGUGUAGCGGUGAAAUGCAUAGAUAUUACAUAGAAUACCAAUUGCGAAGGCAGAUCACUAACAAUAUAUUGACACUGAUGGACGAAAGCGUGGGGAGCGAACAGGAUUAGUUACCCUGGUAGUCC